rfam:Pseudoalteromonas sp. A601 contig10, whole genome shotgun sequence.
UGAUUUGGUCUUCGUUUGAGUAUCCUUACGGGCUCUUCAAACAGAUGAUAACCAAAUUCAAAUAUAGGAGAUGUGUUAGUGGCCCGUAUCGCUGGCAUUAACGUCCCUGAU